rnacentral:rRNA from 1 species
UGGAUAGUAUUAUUAAUGAAAUUUAACGGAUUUGGCGGCAAGAUAGCCACUUAGAGGAACCUGCCCUGUAAACGAUGAGCCACGAUUAACCUUACUUUUACUAGAAUCCAGUUUGUAUACCGCUGUUGUCAGUUAGUUUCCUUAGAAAACUUUCGUACAUGAUAAAUUCAAUGACUUCAAGUAAAGGUGCAGCUUAUGUAAAAGAUAGAGGUGGGUUACAAUUAAAAGGAUAAUAUGGAUAAAGUAAAGAAAAAACUUUUGAAGGUGGAUUUAAUAGUAAAGUUUAAUAAGACUUGAUUAGAGCUCUAUCUUGUGUACACACCGCCCGUCGCUCGCGGGA